rnacentral:rRNA from 1 species
AGAGUUUGAUCCUGGCUCAGGAUGAACGCUGGCGGCGUGCCUAACACAUGCAAGUCGAACGGAUCCGUACUGAAACCUAGAGAUGUAUGGAUUAAUGGCGGACGGGUGAGUAACACGUGGAUAACCUGCCGGAUACACGGGGAUAACACUUAGAAAUAAGUGCUAAUACCGCAUAAUCGCACCGUUCCACAUGGAACGGUGUGAAAAACUCCGGUGGAAUACUAUGGAUCCGCAUCAGAUUCCCCAGUUGGAGGGGUAACGGCCCACCAAAGCGACCAUCAGUAGCCAGCAUGAGAGGGUGAACUGACACGUUGGAACUGCAACACGGCACAGACUCCUACGGCAGGCACCUAUGGGAAAUAUUGCACAGUGAGGUAAACCCUGAUGCAACAACCCCACCCGACUGAACAACUAUUUCGAAAAAUUAUUCUCUAUUAUCAAGCAAUAAAAACCGGCCUUAAGGACGCCAGACGGUACCUGACUAAGAAGCCCCGGCUAACUACGUGCCAGCAGCCGCGGUAAUACGUAGGGGGCAAGCGUUAUCCGGAUUUACUGGGUGUAAAGGGAGCGUAGACGGCAGCGCAAGUCUGGGGUGAAAUGCCGGGGCCCAACCCCGGAACCGCUUUGGAAACUGUGCAGCUCGAGUGCAGGAGAGGUAAGCGGAAUUCCUAGUGUAGCGGUGAAAUGCGUAGAUAUUAGGAGGAACACCAGUGGCGAAGGCGGCUUACUGGACUGUAACUGACGUUGAGGCUCGAAAGCGUGGGGAGCAAACAGGAUUAGAUACCCUGGUAGUCCACGCCGUAAACGAUGAUUCUUAGGUGUGGGGGGGCCAAGCCCCUCCGGUCCCCGCGCAAAGGCAUUAAGUAAUCCACCUGGGGAGUACGUUGGCAAGAAUGAAACUCAAAGGAAUGGACGGGGACCCGCACAAGCGGUGGAGCAUGUGGUUUAUUUGGAAGCAACGCGAAGACCCUUACCUGGUCUUGACAUCCCGGUGGCAAGUGAGCAAUGUCACUGUUCCUUCGGGACACCGGAGACAGGUGGUGCAUGGUUGUCGUCAGCUCGUGUCGUGAGAUGUUGGGUUAAGUCCCGCAACGAGCGCAACCCCUUUUUCCAGUAGCCAGCAUUCAGGAUGGGCACUCUGGAGAGACUGCCCGGGAUAACCGGGAGGAAGGCGGGGAUGACGUCAAAUCAUCAUGCCCCUUAUGACCAGGGCUACACACGUGCUACAAUGGCGUAAACAAAGGGAGGCAAAGCGGUGACGCCAGGCAAAUCCCAAAAAUAACGUCCCAGUUCGGAUUGUAGUCUGCAACUCGACUACAUGAAGCUGGAAUCGCUAGUAAUCGCGAAUCAGAAUGUCGCGGUGAAUACGUUCCCGGGUCUUGUACUCACCGCCCGUCA